UAAGAACUAAAAAUAAAAUUCAUAUUACCAGACUUUCAGUCUAGUAUUUUUCUCUUUCACCCUACAGAUAGAAGAUUGUGUAGGCAGACCGUCUGACAGUCCAUCUCGCAAUAUGGUCCAGUAAUUGUUUCUCUGUUCUGAUAACUCCUCCCCCCAUGCAUCCCCCAUCCCUGUUCUCUUCCCGAAUUGGUGCUACCUCCUAUUUGGGAAAUACUUUUGCUUUUAAGAGUCUCAUGGUGACAGAGUAGAGAUAAGGAAGAAGAGGCAGUAACAUUACUACCCAGGGCCAGUUUUGGGCUUGAGGAUCAUAGGGAAAAGAUGGUUUAAGAAUUUAUUGGAAGAAGACUACAAAUAGGGUUCAGUGUAUACUGCUCGGGUGACGGUUGCACCAAAAUCUCACAAAUCACCACGAAAGAACUUACUCAUGCAACCAAACACCAUCUGUUCCCCAAUAACUUUUAUGGAAAUUAAAAAUAAAUUUUAAAAGUGUUUAUGGGAAGAUUCUGAUCUUUCCCCCUUACUAACCACAUAAAUCCUGGAAAAAUAACUAAUUCCCUCUUGUUUUUGGUGUGGAAAAUGAGAAACUGGAUAUAAUAGGGUCUAGGAUAGUACUUGGCUCAUACAUGUUGUUUGAUACCUGUUAACCCUCUCUUUCUUUUAAUUUUCUGUAGUUCCUCCAGCAUAAAAACAAGACAAAGUUUCUGCAGAGCUGCUCUAACCCAAUAAUAAAAUUGGACAAUAAGCUGCAUAUCUGCCGGAAACCUGGGACUGGCAAUGGAGAUGAGAAGAGAAUCAGAAGGCUGAAAUGAAGCCACAAUGUUGACAGCAAGUGGAGUCUGGCAACCCCAAGUUUCCAAAGUGCACAUCUGCGCUGGGGCCUGGAGAUUUCUGGAAGGGAAUCAGUCUGUGUCCUUUUUGCAGUGUGGCUGUGAGUGAUAAGCAGCA
rnacentral:lncRNA from 10 species